rnacentral:rRNA from 1 species
CAGCCGUAAACUAUGCGCGUUAGGUGUACUGGUGACCACGAGUCACCGGGGUGCCGAAGGGAAACCGUGAAACGUGCCGCCUGGGAAGUACGGUCGCAAGGCUGAAACUUAAAGGAAUUGGCGGGGGGAGGCACCACAACGGGUGGGAGCCUGCGGUUUAAUUUGGAUUCAACGCCGGACAUCUCACCGGAUAAGACAGCUGAAUGAUUGUCAAUCUGAAGGUUUUACAUGACUAGCUGAGAGGUGGUGCAUGGCGUCAGUGACU